CUUUCUUGUUGGACGGAAAUCCAGAUACAUAUAUUGGCUUCACCAUACCCUAUUUAACAUACUAUAGUAUUCUUGGUUAUUUCCAAAAAGUGAAGAUAUUCUUGGUUACAGUUAAUUGAACUAGUGUUGACAAAUCAUAUGCUAUUGACAUUUGACCACGAAUUAGCAACCGGUGGGCGCGUAUUGGAUAAACUAGCCCCUCCUUUUGGAAGUUUGACUCCUUGACCGUACACAACUU